rnacentral:rRNA from 1 species
UUGANCGCUGAGGUUGGUACUUGUACCGACUGGNUGAGCAGCGAACGGGUGAGUAACGCGUGGGGAAUCUGCCUUUGAGCGGGGGACAACAUUUGGAAACGAAUGCUAAUACCGCAUAACAACUUUAAACACAAGUUUUAAGUUUGAAAGAUGCAAUUGCAUCACUCAAAGAUGAUCCCGCGUUGUAUUAGCUAGUUGGUGAGGUAAAGGCUCACCAAGGCGAUGAUACAUAGCCGACCUGAGAGGGUGAUCGGCCACAUUGGGACUGAGACACGGCCCAAACUCCUACGGGAGGCAGCAGUAGGGAAUCUUCGGCAAUGGACGAAAGUCUGACCGAGCAACGCCGCGUGAGUGAAGAAGGUUUUCGGAUCGUAAAACUCUGUUGGUAGAGAAGAACGUUGGUGAGAGUGGAAAGCUCAUCAAGUGACGGUAACUACCCAGAAAGGGACGGCUAACUACGUGCCAGCAGCCGCGGUAAUACGUAGGUCCCGAGCGUUGUCCGGAUUUAUUGGGCGUAAAGCGAGCGCAGGUGGUUUAUUAAGUCUGGUGUAAAAGGCAGUGGCUCAACCAUUGUAUGCAUUGGAAACUGGUAAACUUGANUGCAGGANANGAGAGUGNAAUUCCAUGUGUAGCGGUGAANGCCNUAAAUNA